rnacentral:rRNA from 1 species
UACGUAGGGUGCAAGCGUUAAUCGGAAUUACUGGGCGUAAAGCGUGCGCAGGCGGUUGUGCAAGCCAGAUGUGAAAUCCCCGGGCUUAACCUGGGAACUGCAUUUGUGACUGCACGGCUAGAGUGUGUCAGAGGGGGGUAGAAUUCCACGUGUAGCAGUGAAAUGCGUAGAGAUGUGGAGGAAUACCGAUGGCGAAGGCAGCCCCCCUGGGAUAACACUGACGCUCAUGCACGAAAGCGUGGGGAGCAAACAGG